AUUGAACGCUGGCGGCAUGCCUAACACAUGCAAGUCGAACGGCAGCAUGACAGUGUACUUGUACAGUGUUGAUGGCGAGUGGCGGACGGGUGAGUAAUACGUAGGGAUCUGCCUUUUAGAGGGGGACAACUCGGGGAAACUCGAGCUAAUACCGCAUAUAGCCUAAGGGUGAAAGCGUGGGACCGGGCAACUGGCCACGCACUAGAAGAUGAACCUACGUCGUGAUUAGCCAGUUGGUAGGGCAAAGGCCUACCAAGGCGAAGAUCCGUAGCUGGUCUGAGAGGAUGACCAGCCACACUGGGACUGAGACACGGCCCAGACUCCUACGGGAGGCAGAAGUGGGGAAUAUUGGACAAUGGGGGCAACCCUGAUCCAGCAAUGCCGCGUGUGUGAAGAAGGCCUGCGGGUUGUAAAGCACUUUAGUUGGGGAGGAAGUAAUACAUUUUAAUAGAGUGUAUUGUUGACGUUACCCAAAGAAUAAGCACCGGCUAACUCUGUGCCAGCCGCCGCGGUAA
rnacentral:rRNA from 1 species